rnacentral:lncRNA from 1 species
UGGGUGAUCUGGGAUAGAUCGGCUAAGGAUGAUAUAAGAUAGAUCGUCCGAAACCGAAGAACCGAGAUCAGCUGCUGAUGGGGUAUCCAACCCACCAUCAUUCUUGUGUCCAUAUUAGGUCAUCCAUCCCUCAUAGCUCGGCUGGGAUCAAGGAUAUCUCAGCCGAGACCGAGGAAUAGAUCUACAACAUAUGCUAUCGUUCAUAAUUCAAGAUUUAACAUUCAUUUUAAUUAAUAAGUAAUCUUCUACCAAAACAAUUAAUAAGUAGUCGAUCGGCACCAACUGCUAAACUUAUCAGAAAGCACGACUUAUUUCCUAAAAUUUGAUGGAUGUCUACAUUAGAUGGAA